AGAGUUUGAUCCUGGCUCAGGACGAACGCUGGCGGCGUGCCUAAUACAUGCAAGUAGAACGCUGAAGGAGGAGCUUGCUUCUCUGGAUGAGUUGCGAACGGGUGAGUAACGCGUAGGUAACCUGCCUGGUAGCGGGGGAUAACUAUUGGAAACGAUAGCUAAUACCGCAUAAGAGUGGAUGUUGCAUGACAUUUGCUUAAAAGGUGCACUUGCAUCACUACCAGAUGGACCUGCGUUGUAUUAGCUAGUUGGUGGGGUAAGGGCUCACCAAGGCGACGAUACAUAGCCGACCUGAGAGGGUGAUCGGCCACACUGGGACUGAGACACGGCCCAGACUCCUACGGGAGGCAGCAGUAGGGAAUCUUCGGCAAUGGACGGAAGUCUGACCGAGCAACGCCGCGUGAGUGAAGAAGGUUUUCGGAUCGUAAAGCUCUGUUGUAAGAGAAGAACGAGUGUGAGAGUGGAAAGUUCACACUGUGACGGUAUCUUACCAGAAAGGGACGGCUAACUACGUGCCAGCAGCCGCGGUAAUACGUAGGUCCCGAGCGUUGUCCGGAUUUAUUGGGCGUAAAGCGAGCGCAGGCGGUUAGAUAAGUCUGAAGUUAAAGGCUGUGGCUUAACCAUAGUAGGCUUUGGAAACUGUUUAACUUGAGUGCAAGAGGGGAGAGUGGAAUUCCAUGUGUAGCGGUGAAAUGCGUAGAUAUAUGGAGGAACACCGGUGGCGAAAGCGGCUCUCUGGCUUGUAACUGACGCUGAGGCUCGAAAGCGUGGGGAGCAAACAGGAUUAGAUACCCUGGUAGUCCACGCUGUAAACGAUGAGUGCUAGGUGUUAGACCCUUUCCGGGGUUUAGUGCCGUAGCUAACGCAUUAAGCACUCCGCCUGGGGAGUACGACCGCAAGGUUGAAACUCAAAGGAAUUGACGGGGGCCCGCACAAGCGGUGGAGCAUGUGGUUUAAUUCGAAGCAACGCGAAGAACCUUACCAGGUCUUGACAUCCCUCUGACCGCUCUAGAGAUAGAGUUUUCCUUCGGGACAGAGGUGACAGGUGGUGCAUGGUUGUCGUCAGCUCGUGUCGUGAGAUGUUGGGAUAAGUCCCGCAACGAGCGCAACCCCUAUUGUUAGUUGCCAUCAUUUAGUUGGGCACUCUAGCGAGACUGCCGGUAAUAAACCGGAGGAAGGUGGGGAUGACGUCAAAUCAUCAUGCCCCUUAUGACCUGGGCUACACACGUGCUACAAUGGCUGGUACAACGAGUCGCAAGCCGGUGACGGCAAGCUAAUCUCUUAAAGCCAGUCUCAGUUCGGAUUGUAGGCUGCAACUCGCCUACAUGAAGUCGGAAUCGCUAGUAAUCGCGGAUCAGCACGCCGCGGUGAAUACGUUCCCGGGCCUUGUACACACCGCCCGUCACACCACGAGAGUUUGUAACACCCGAAGUCGGUGAGGUAACCGUAAGGAGCCAGCCGCCUAAGGUGGGAUAGAUGAUUGGGGUGAAGUCGUAACAAGGUAGCCGUAUCGGAAGGUGCGGCUGGAUCACCU
rnacentral:rRNA from 1 species